GAAAUGCGAUAAGUAAUGUGAAUUGCAGAAUUCAGUGAAUCAUCGAAUCUUUGAACGCACAUUGCGCCCUUGGUAUUCCGAGGGGCAUGCCUGUUCGAGCGUCAUUACACCACUCAAGCUAUGCUUGGUAUUGGGUGCCGUCCUUAGUUGGGCGCGCCUUAAAGACCUCGGCGAGGCCUCACCGGCUUUAGGCGUAGUAGAAUUUAUUCGAACGUCUGUCAAAGGAGAGGACUUCUGCCGACUGAAACCUUUUAUUUUUCUAGGUUGACCUCGGAUCAGGUAGGGAUACCCGCUGAACUUAAGC
rnacentral:misc_RNA from 1 species